rnacentral:rRNA from 1 species
GACGAACGCUGGCGGCGUGCUUAACACAUGCAAGUCGAGCGGAAAGGCCACUUCGGUGGUACUCGAGCGGCGAACGGGUGAGUAACACGUGAGUAAUCUGCCCCUGGCUUUGGGAUAGCCACCGGAAACGGUGAUUAAUACCGGAUACGACCACUUCUCGCAUGGGAUGGUGGUGGAAAGUUUUUUCGGCCAGGGAUGUGCUCGCGGCCUAUCAGCUUGAUGGUGAGGUAAUGGCUCACCAUGGCUUCGACGGGUAGCCGGCCUGAGAGGGUGGCCGGUCACACUGGGACUGAGACACGGCCCAGACUCCUACGGGAGGCAGCAGUGGGAAUAUUGGACAAUGGGCGGAAGCCUGAUCCAGCAACGCCGCGUGAGGAAUGACGGCCUUCGGGUUGUAAACCUCUUUCAGCAGGGACGAAGCGCAAGUGACGGUACCUGCAGAAGAAGCACCGGCCAACUACGUGCCAGCCGCCGCGGUAA